AUACUCCUUACGGCAGAAUAAUGAAAGCUUUUAUUGCAGUUUGAUUUUUAUUAUCAGUAAAUAUCGUUUUCUCUGGCUAUAAACUUAUAAGUAAUUUUCAUAUAUUUUCUAUCCUUUGCAGGUAAGUAGCACCUAUUCCCAGUCGGGUGGUUGCAGUCGCGUUUAUUCUCAUCAGAGAAUUUAAAUAAGGGAAUUAAUAUCAGAAUAUCCUCCAACAAUGAAACUUUUCCGGGGAAACGCGGAAAAAACUUCGGAAUGGAUGCGAUAAAAGUUUAAUUCAAAGUAAGGCUUCCCUCCACUCCUCUUCGCUAAGAUCGUAGGCCUAAUGUGCUGACAAUCGUUGGAUUCCAGACCACUCAGACCUCAGACUCUCCCUUGGUAUAAUUUCAACUUUAAAAUGACCGGGGACGAUCCUAGGCAAUAAAAGAAAAGGCAGAAUGCAAUAGGGGGAUUGGAAAUGUAUGGCGUAAACUUUUGCAAAAGUUGUAAAAAAUGAAAAAGUUCGUCAAUAAACAUUAGAAAAACUUUUGCGCCUCGUCUCACCUUACCAUUUUGUGAUUUAAAUCGCUCCGCAUGCCCACAAAGUCAGUAGGCAUAAUACGAGUCCUUUUUGUGAUGGCACCUGCCUAGCGACAAGUUUAUAAAAUGUUUUCCGUCUCAAAUGAAAGCCCAAAUUAAGCCCAAUCCCAAAUAUCCUCUAAGGAUAUUAUUAUGUUUCUGUCUGUCGUCAGGCAAAUAACGAGGACCACUCAAGGUCUGAGGAGAUCCGGAGCGGGUUUUGCGGAACCGUCAUGGUAAUGAGACAAACGGUCAAAAAUCAUCAAAUAUUAAUUAAGUUUGCGCCUAAUUAGUUUGGUUCAGCGCCAAAAAUCCGCCUUUCUCUCCUUCUCGCAGGGUUAGAGACAUCAAAAUGGUGUUCGAUUCGGACCCGAGGCUCAAUUUCUCCAAAAACCCCAAUGAAUUACACCGCCUGGACGGUUCCGUUUGCCCAGUUAAAGUCUAAUUACAGAGGAAGCAUGGAGCAAGGCGGCCGAAUCGGGUCAAAAGUUAACUAUGUGGCAAAAAAAGUAUUUGACAAAUGUCGGGGAUGAUAAAGGGGCUGAAGACAGCACUGGUUGGAAGGAUGCCGAUAGUGAAUUAACAAAAAGCCAAGAUUUGGUCAAAAAUUUUAACAAUACCAAGAAAGCGUCGAGAGAAAUCCAAUGGUUUAUUUACGUUUAUUUGUCAAAAUAUUUGCAGAUGGCAAACUUUUUUUUGGAGCAAUUAUUUAUUUUGUUGUCAAUGCGAGGAAUAAAGUGUUCAAUACUUUCUCGGUUUACCCUGUUGUGUCCGCCUUAACAGCUGAGGAAAAUGUUUCAUUCCAUGCUCAAAUAUUUAAUUUCGUUUAUUGAAGUAUUUGCUGUUUGGUUUGGCUAACAAACAGUUCCUGACGUGGUUGACUGUUAGAGGGCAUUUUGGGAAACAGCAGAACCACACACGUGCCUUGGUACUCGCAACUUCUUGACCAACAUUCAUUCAUUUCCAACGCAAGUCUUUUCCCAACUAAGCGGGACAUGUGAGGGUUGCAGCCUUCAUUUGUAGUUUGCCAGAUUGUUUGUUAGCUGCCCCACUUGAAACAAGAAUUUUAUUAAUUAAUUUGAAACCGUUGCCAUUGACGAGGAUUCCGGAAUUGGCUUCACAGCCAGAAGGAUUUAAGUUUGGCAUGUGAUAAGUUUACAUAGGCAAAGUAUAAUAUUUUAGGUGUACAUUUGUUGGGGCAGUAUUUGCGGGAUGAGAUUCUCUAAUUGAUUUCGCUCCGGUCAUUGAAAACAGCUUGUUUGGGAAAAUCCAAAUAGGUUUUCGUAUUUUACAUAAAUGAAUAAGAACUUUAAAUCCAGGUCUAAUCUCAGAAUUAUCUACACCAAUUUUUGCAUAAAAGUGUUAUCAGUGUUUAUACCAAUUAUUAUCCUUCCUAUACACACUCAUUCUUUGUGAGACUAUUAAAGUGGGCUACACAAGUUCCGAUAAAUUCAUAAAACUAAAUCCACAAAAUUGGCUAGACAUUUCCAAAAAGCCGCUUUUACGAUCCCUCUGUUGUUCGACCUCUCGCCAAAGCGAGAAUAAACGACUUGUAAAUGUUUUUAAUUGCAGACGGAUAUUUUGUACAGAUUACAUAACUAGCAUUCGAAAGCUCGCUUAGGCUCAUAAAAGCCAACGCCCACACACAAAAUGUUGGGGAGAUGGGUAUCAUCUUCAUAAAGGCACAUAAGCCGCAUCGUAUCCUGCAUAUAUUUUCCGGUUAUGUGGCCAGCAACAGCUAUAUCAGCCGCAAUUAAAACCAAGGCUAGCUCAGCAAAAUGCUGUGCGUAGAUAUUACCCCCCAGGAACUGCCCCAGUGCCCUUUCUCAAAAUCAAGUAUACGACAUGAUAGCCACACUUUUUGUGUGUGUGGCAUUGGUGACUCUGGUAAAGUGCGAGUUUCAAUACUUCCUGCUGGGCUCCCAGUGCGGCUUUCUUUUACAAGCACAGCACUCGACCGAAAAACCCCUCACACUUUGGAUGCCAGUCAGCUGAAAAAGGGCUUCACACUUGUAGUUGAUUCCGAAAACCGCUAUCUAUCGAGUUAUUACCUUUUAAACCAAAUACAUCUCAAAUUUCUACAAUAAGACUAAUUGCUUGCAGUUGACCAGUAUUGUACUAAAUUAAUUCAUCGUUGCUGACCUAACCAUUGUCAAGUAGGCUUUGAGAAAGUGGGAUCCUUGUUGAGGCAGAUCUGUAGGCUAUCACCAAAAAUAUCGCAGUUGUGAGCCACACAAACGUUCGUGGAGCAAAAUAAGUUUAUAUCAGUAUAACCCGCUCUCGAUCCUAAAUUAGCCGUGUCGUACAAAAAUAUCCGUCGGUCUGUUUGUCUGUCCGUAUAUAUUAAUGAACGGCGAGGUCUCGGGAGCUUUAAAAUUAAAAAAGUUGACAUUAAGGAUGCUGAUUCUAUGAAUCAAUGACAUUGUUAUGUUUGUAAUAGUCCUGUACCAGUUAACUUAACUCAAGCUCAUUUAUUUUGUAAACAUUGAAAUAUACAUACCUACAGAGUGGAUGUCGAAAUGGUUGUGGUCGAACAGUAUUUUUAAGUCCUAAUUAGAAAUAAUACGGAAACUUAAAUUGCAAUAAAUCGAUAAUUGCAGUUGUGGUAAAAUAAUUGAUGCUAGGGUUUGUUAAUGCAGAAAUAUCUUUUGAUUAAACUCGAUUGUAUCAUUUUUCUAUGCCUGCUUGCAAUUAGGGAUCGUAAAAUAUGAAAGGCGAUGCUCUAAUUACAUAUUUAAUUCCUUUAUUUGCUGUUACAAAAAAUAAAUUUAAAUUUUUUCUGAAAACAAUUCAACUAAUACCGUAAUCGGAUUUGGCUUGGCAGGUCAAUUGCAAUAAAUAAAUUAAUCAUAGGCUGUGGAAAUUAUCAGGGAAAUAUUAUUUAGAUUUCGUUCACCCAAUUUAGCUCGUUGUUGGAGCCUGAGCUCUUUAAUAAUAUCCGUUGGUAUACACCGACAUCAUCGUCAAACUAGAAAGUGUUUUAUUGUUGGAAGGAUUCGACAAGCAAAAGUUUUGCAUGUAAAUGACACAGAGUGCGGUGCGUAGUUGAAUAUAUCAUUUAUAUGUUAUAUAGGGGUUUUUGGUGAGUUGUUCACAUAUUUGCUGAAUUACCGUGCUUCCUAGGUAAAAGUUGAAAUGCUCUUUGCGUGUUUCUGUGGUUAUCAAAUUUGCUGCUACCAAAACUGUUGGGAAAGUGCCGGAGACAACUAACGAUGGGAUUAUGGGCAGGUGUGAAAGAAUAGUCCAGAAAUCAUAUCUGUACCACGUAUCGAAGUCGCUCUUAGUUCUUUGAAGGACUAGCUUUUUCUCAUACCGCGAAAUCUCGUUGUCCUUGAAAGCGCACAAGUAUACUCAAUGGCCUGAUUCGCUUAUCAGAGGAGCAGAAAGAAUUUCUGCGGAAUCUAAUCCUCCACGCCCAACAUUUUGCUCAACUGAGUGGAUAAAUGCUUCAUUUAGCAGGCAAAGAUACCCCCUUUAAUCACGCAACACCGCAACACCGCAACAGUACAUUUUCUUUUUUCCUAUUCGAUCCCAGCUUGGGUGUUCACUUGAACUUAACUACAAUUUGGUCGCCGCAUUCAUGCAUAUUGAUAAUCUUGAACGCUUCAAUGCUCAUUUACCCAUCUUAUAAGGUGCACAGCCCGGGCUUCCCCAGCCACCCAACCACUCGCCCAAGGAAGGUCCCUAAACUCAAGUUUUUAAUCAUGCGUGGGCGGUCAGUUAGCCUUUGAUUCGUUUUCCCCAUCAUCUGCUCUGCAAUGCCCUUCGCCCCUCCCAGCUCCGUAAUCUCCAAGGGAUGUGUGUUCAUUUUGGGGCUACAUCAUUUAUGGGCUUCUUCAUCCUUUUCCAGCCAGAGGCGGCCACUUUUCCAAUCAACUUGAGUGUAUGCCAGUGUGAGCUGGGAAAGAAAAGGGAGGGGAAGGAAAGGACUCUUGUUCCUGCUGAUGCUGACUUUGUGCCGAUUUUUCAUAUUUUUCAUUCGGCAAAAUAUAUAUUUUUUAAUGCCUUUUAUUAAAUCGGCUUAGAUUUAUUGUACAUGUACAUCAUCGUUUUCCUCACAUAUGUGAAACUACACUCGGAGAAUUUAAGCAAAAUAUUUUAAAAUUUUAAAGUGUCCGAUUAACUAGGGGAAUUUUCUGUUAACUAUAUACCAUAUUAUUUAAGCCUCUUCUUAUAGCAUAAUAUACAUAUUCGAUUAUUAUAAUUAUUAUAAAAUACAAUAACUAAUUAUUUUGAGUAAUAACCUUAAGCAGAGAAAUUGGAUUUUAUUUGUUUUGUUUCUCUCUGUGCGAUUUGUGUGAUUGAGUAGUGACGUCGCUUUUAAAAUCUAUAUUGAAAGUUGUCUGCCAAUACGGGAAAAGUUCCUUUAUGAGUCUUAAAGGAAAUAUUGAAUUAUACAAGUAUUCGAACCGAAAUUGCUUUUGGAGGUACGGAAAAGAUAAUCUUCUGUAAUCUAAUGAAGACGAUAACUGAGUAGCUUUCAAUUUGUUUUAAAUGAUAAAAACUGGCAAUAGAAAUGUGUAACCGACUAAACGCUUACAAAAUUGACACAAUUUGCUAUGAAUUUGCAAUGUCCUUCUGCCGGACUUGGUUCUCCGCACACACUUGCACUAGGACAUUUCGGUCACUAAUUGUGAUUGAUGCACUUUAAAAUUGUUGGCAAAUUAUUAUUGCCAAAAGGCACGAUGACCCGCCACCACCACUCCCCACUCCCCACCCCUACAUGUACCCAGCCCCCCCCUGCCUAACUCAAUUAGUCAACCUGCCUGCUGCUGGUGACGUUGACGUUCCUGCCGUUGAGUCCUGGCGUCCUGCAGUCCUGGCCAACUGUUGCAACGAAAUUACCACAAAGUUUUCUGUUUGCUGCAUAAUUAAAAAGUUUGAAAAGCUUUUGCCGAAACCAGGCAACAACCAGGACGCAUCCCCUCCCGGAAAAGCCUCCGGUCUGCCUCGUCCUUCUUCCUGCUGCGUACUACGGGCUAACUAUUAUAAACCAGCGGUUAUGCGGCGGUUGCAGUUUUUGCAUGAUUGACAGCCCAAAAGCCUGAAACGAGAACGAGGACGAAAAGAAAAAACAGAAAUGGGAAUACGAUGUCGAGGACAUGCCGUUCAUGGCACCAAGAGCUAGUCAAGGACAUGCCCACGCAUGUGCCACCCCCACCCCUCAUUGUUGUGAAAAUAUUUUGAAUUUUUCCAAAAGUUUCUCACUCGCUCCCACAAAAUGUUUACAUUUUUCAUCAAAUGAGUUUUAGAUAAUUAAUUUCUAUAUGUUUAUAUUUCGCAACUGCAAUACGGGGCUAAUUGCGCAUGACUACAUAUGUGUUUAGCCAGGUCGCUGUGAAUAACAAAAAGUGGGCGGGAAAUUGUUCUUUAUCUUUUUUUGAAUUCAGUAAAUAGUGGUCGUGGAUCCGCAGUCCACACGUGGCUAACUAAUGACAACUCAUUAGGCUUUAGCCUUGUUGUGCCUGAAAGUUUUCAAGCAAGAAACUAUUUAUGCGGGCUUCCCCAUCACCCCAUUUUUGAUGCACAGCCUCCAAAGUAUAAACUUACUCGACAUUGCUGGAAAAGGACAAAGUGCUGGGAGCAACGCAGCUUGUCCCAUAAAUCAUUUAACAUAAACAAAAGCAAGUGGAUCGCAAUUUGUUUCAUAGUCAGUCGUGGCUCCUGCUUCACCGUCCAUGGCUAAACAGUUCCCCAUCGCACUUAUCCCGACCUCCCAUCGCGUGGGUGGCAUGUGUGUCCUCGGAGCCUGAGCACUGUUUUUCGCUAUUCCCCGUUCGCAGAUGCUCGAACGCACAGCUAGACACCUGACCGCAUGACAUUAAACAAUUAAAUUAUUAGACAAGCCUAUCGUAGGACUUGGUUUACUUCACCAAGAGUGAAAAAUAGUGCGUGCCAAUAGUUUUUUUCAUAAAAUUAAUCGUAGUUCCCACCUAAUGCAUUACUCGAAAUUAUUACAUUUUUGAAGAAUGUUAUUAUGUGGCUUUAUUUUCUCAAUUUUACCAAAAUAUAAUAAGUUGGUAUAUAAUUAAAUGUUUUGCUAAUGUUGAACACAACACUUCGAAAACGUGAAAUAUUGGCUCUCUAGUCGGCAGUAGGUUCUGACAUAAAGUUCAUUCUGCUUCUAAAAAUUUAAAUGUUUAAAAUUUGUGGUAACAGGAAAUGGAUUUCUUAUGUCUUUCUGGACCACUUUCAUUGGAUGAAACUCUAGUGAUCUUUAGGUUUUGUUAUAGAGUCCGACCACAAUAUUGUUUCAUUUUGCUGCAAUUAAGUAAGGCAGCUAACUUAAAAUUUUUUAAUCCCCGUUCAGGGCGGGUCUGAGGGCAAAUUAAUCUGCAGCGUGCUGGCCACUUUUAAACUAAAGCCAGAAGGCUUAGCUACCCCUACACGUCGGUCGGUGGACCCAAUCCUAUUCCACCUCUCUUUUGCUGCUGCCGGCUCAGAAUGCUGCAUUACUUGCCAAGGCAACCUGCAAAAUGCCUGAUAAUGGAUUAUUCCAUGCCAUAAAUGCAAAUGCAGGCCAGGGCGCAUAGCUGCUCUGCCGCCAACUGGUGGAGGUGGCCGAGCCAGGACUCAGCCAAGUUACCAACGAUGACGCCAUUUUGUGUAGCAACAGUUACACGGCUGGAAAAGAAGGCAACAAGGCACGGUGAGGAGGUGGGCGGCUUCUGGGGGCGGACCGAAGGCAGGUUUUUACGGGCACGGCAACUGCAGUCAACAAAGGCGCGUAAAUUAUUUUAGAUUUACAUUUCUGCAUUUCGUUUGUGCCCGUUGUGUCUCUAUCCUAUGCGACUGCCACGCCCCUUCUCCCCUUCGCACUUCCCUGUUUGCGGCGUUGUUGUCCGUCGCUGCCGCCGCAGGCGUUGGGCAAGACGGCGUCGGCAGAUAAUUUAUGCAAUUUUUAUGAUUAUUCAUUAUGAGCCAGGAAGCGCUCGACUGGCACGGUGGGCAUCCAAGGACACGCCAGUGAAGGAGUUCUAUUUUCGAGAGCUACACUUAAGCAUAAGACUUGACUCUAUAAGAAAUCAUGCAUAAGUUCUAUGAACUAAACUAAACUGAUUCAGUACAUUGUCAGUGAAGUAACAAAUAAAAAUAUUUAAACAUUUUAGUUUUAUAUAAAAUUAUAUAUAAAGUUAGAUAAGUUUUUUAAACGAGUUUCUGCCAAAUUGUAAAUAAGCGUAUAAUAAAAAAGAAUGACUCAUCGGAAGUUUAAUUGUACUGCUAUUUCAAUCAUAAAGACUUCAAAUAUUGAUCGGCUUAAAUCAAUAGUUAUAUGUAAAUAUACAUAUAUGAUAAGAGGCUCGAAAUAUAUUAAACUUGUUCUAUUUUUAAUGUGUCCCACUGUGUCGACUUCUGGUUUGUCAUGUCUGCGCCGCAUUUGUUUCAUAUUUUAUGCAUUCAUACAAAUUUUUUUCUUAGCUCCAAGCGGAAAUGCAACAAAACGUUGCCUUUUUCCCCCAUCUCGUAGGAGAAGGGCAAACGACUCUCAUAUAUUUUUUAACUAAUUAGCAUUAAUUUAACCAACUGAUAAUUCCCGGGGCUUAUACCCAGUCCAACUCCAGGUUCCAGGCUACUUUUUAAUUUCCCUCUUUAGUUCCCCGUUGGUGUGUACAAAGCUAACCAAUCCUGAUCCUGGCCAGCGUUCAACUGCGUCGCUACAAUUGUUGAUUGCGUUAUGCUCAAGUUAAUAAAGUCAUUUGCAUCGCUGCUUUAAGUGGAUCAGUUUUAAGAGAGCUGCUGGAGCGCAACAUUCUUGGGGCUGCGAAAAGGUUACAACAGUUCUUCCAGUGUAUAAAUGUGCUCAGACAAAAGUCUCUGAAAUUGGAAAUCCCAUAAACCGUUUUGGCGUUGUGGUUUCUACUUUCUUUUUUUUUUUGAGACUCCUGAUGGAAGAAUAAAUAUAAGUACAUAAAGAAAGUCCCUCCUGUGUAUCUGCCCGCACAAACGACAUGAGAAAACGUCAAUCUAAUUGAAAUUCUAGACAAAAUCUUCGGCAAAUUACCUUCAUUGACAAAAAUCUCUAAUCCCCGUGAAGCGCAGCACCGAAGUCGCAACCGGAGGAUAGAACCCAGACUCCGAUAACUUAUUCCUUGCAGUGGAAAAGUCGUCUCAGUGCCGCAAGAGGAAACAUACUUGAAAUGGAGCUACAGCUGAGGGAGAAGGUAGCGCAGCCCGGCGGAAACGGAAGUGCAGACGGGAGCGGCGAUGUGUCUGGGUGGGUGUGUGACAAUUGGAAUGCAGGUGGAUACUGCGGGGGUUGCUGCGCUGCUGUCGAUGUCUUCCUCGUGCUCGAAAGUCGAAAAGAAAUAGGUAAAUACCUUGCGGUCUUCCUCCUUCGCCUUUUGUCGCCAUUACGCUGAGUGCAUUGGCCCACGCCCACGCCCACGCCACGCCCACUCUGUCCCAAAAGGAACGACGAUGAUGACAAUGAUGAUGAUGAUGAAGCAGGGGGUGGUGCUCAAGCUCUCUCCAGCUGAAUUUUUCAUAGCCUGCAGCUGCUUUAGCGAUUUAAUUUAAUCAACUGAAAGCGCAUUUGCAGCUUUGCUAACCGCGCACUCGCACAAAAGAACACACGGGGCACUGCUCCCAUUCACAUACCCAAGUCGAGCAUUAUCCUCCAGGAUGAUGCUUCGCGCUCCUUGCAUGUCCUCGUUUUGGGACAUUGCUGUCAUUCAACCCUGUCCACCUCUCAGCGCGGAAUCUGGCCUGGGGCUGGAUUGAGGCGUCUAAGCUGGCUUUACUGACUUCCUCGCUUAUUGCAAAUAAAAUUUAGAAUAUGGUUUUUGCUCCGAUCUUCGCAUCCAUGGUCUUAUAUUUGAUCUAUUUUGCGACGAUCUUCAGACCCAGAACUACGCCUGCCCUGCAAAGGCUGUCAUUCCCAUUUGCUUCCUGGCUUUGGGCUGCUUGCAGCGUAAUGAUGUGCUAAACGGCACUGAAACACGCACAGAAACUCGCAGAUAGACCCAGCCGCCCACGCAGCUAGAAAACAAAUGCGCGACACACAGAUUUACACUUCACUACACUGAACAACAAAACACGGGUAGCUGGGAGGACGACGGCAAAUUUGCCUGCAGAUUACCAAUGACAACAAGCCCAUGGGGCUGUUGCGAACGGGAAAGGGAAGGUUUUGCUGGUGCAGGAUAUGCCUUAGCUGAGAUAAUAAUGAUCCCAAAAACACCAGACACGCAUCCAAACAAAAAACCGGCAAAGCUUGGCACAAAAAGAAAACCAACUUCAAAAAUAGCAGUUCUUUAAAAACUGCACGCUCGCCUCGCUCGGUGCAGCCACGCCCAUCCACGCGGAUUUUCAUAGCCAGCUCGGCGGACGAAACUUCUGUCGCAGAGCGCUAAAGUUGGCCCAAGGCUAGAAAAAAACGAAAUAUGGGGAAGAGUCGGACUGUCGGGCGGGGAACCCCACUUUAGCUCCCUGCGGGCGUAUAAUUUGUAGCAUUGUUGUUGCCGCAGCUUCUGCGGUUUUCCGUUGUCGGUUUUUUUCUCGGAUAAAAUUUUCAUUUGUAAGCGCGCGUAAAAUUUGCACGCAUUUUGAAGUAUAAUUUGACAUUAAUUCGAUGCCCGCGGGACAGAGACACAUCCGUCUGCCAAAAUGAUCCAUCUAUCUACUGUUUUAUGAACAUAACUAAACAGAUGUUCCAUACUUACCGGCUACGAAUCGGAAAUAGACCUCGAAACAUACGAUAGGAAACCGGUCUUUGUCUCAUAAAAAUGCAGUGGGUGCACUAAUAGUCAAGGUCCAAAAGGAGGGGCAGCCAGACCGCCAAUUAAACUUGAUUCGUUCUACAACAGCUUUGGAAUCUGUUCCGCAACCCCAUCAUGCACAGUCCGCAUAACCAUAACCAAAUUUAUUUAAAAACUGGAAUCUAGAGGAGAGCGAAUCGAGGAAAGGAAUGGACAAAUGUUGCAUAAGGGCUAGCAAGUUUAAGAAGGGGACCUUCAAACAAUGAAGCUUAACUCUGGUCAAAGGCAAAUACCACUGAUUGUGACAAUCAGCGUGACAAUAAAAUUGGCGCCCAGGAGCAGAAUUCGGAUUUGGAUUCGAAUGGGGAUCGGGAUCGGCCCCGAUUUGGGGUUGCGCAUGGGGAGUGCCUCCGGAAUGGAUGGGAUGGAUGCUGGCAACAGCUGGCGGCGGAAGGCAGAGAACUGGGGCAGCUUUAAAACUUUGACAAUUUCCAUGGCCACUCAGUGCGACGGGAGAAUUUUAAAAUUCCAGGAUGUCAGACUGCCAGGAGUCUGGGGCGGAGGCGUGGCCAGCAAAAUGACAGCCCGGUGACACGCACAGACCAACUGUCACACCCGCUGAGCAUGUGUGUGUCUAACCCUUGCAAAAAUCUUUGCAGAAGUAAAAUUUUGUGAAAUGGCCAGGACCAACGGGGUGGAAAGGAAAGGAGAGCCGGGGAAAGAAAAGGAGAGCAAACACAAACAUUAAAGGCACACAUAGCAA